GAAAUAAUGGUCCCAAUGCAGUUGAAAAACUCCAAAUUGUUGAGAAGCAACCUUUAAAGGGUGGACCAUUGUUAUUGGCAAAUGAGGCAUUUGAUCGUGGUGCUGGAUGUUAUGAGUCUUGUGACAGCGAAGAGACUGAAGAUGAGUCUGAAAAGGAGGAAGAGGCAGAACCAGAGAAAGAUACUUCGCACCAGGAAAAUGCUUUGGCUGGCAAUGCAAUUUCCAAAAAAAGAAAAGCAUCAGAAAUGCUUCCUAGCUCAAAGAAAAAGAAACACUGUUCUGAUGUUAAGGCGAAGCUUGAUGAGCAGACCAAGAAACAAGAAGAUCUUAC
rnacentral:misc_RNA from 1 species